UUCUGUGCCAAAGAAUACGAACAUAUUUAAAACAUUAAAAGACCUGGCGGUGCCCAAAACCAACCUAGAGGAGCCUGUUACAUAAUCGAUAGUCCACGAUAAACCCCACCAACUCUUGCACCCCGCCGUCUAUAUACCGCCAUCUUCAGCAAACUGAAU
rnacentral:rRNA from 1 species